CACGUAGGGGGCGAGCGUUGUCCGGAUUUAUUGGGCGUAAAGGGCGCGUAGGCGGCGCGGUAAGUCACCUGUGAAAUCUCCUGGCUCAACUGGGAGCUUGCAGGCGAAACUGCCGUGCUGGAGUGUGGGAGAGGUGCGUGGAAUUCCUGGUGUAGCGGUGAAAUGCGUAGAUAUCAGGAGGAACACCUGUGGCGAAAGCGGCGCACUGGACCACAACUGACGCUGAGGCGCGAAAGCUAGGGGAGCAAACAGG
rnacentral:rRNA from 1 species